AGAGUUUGAUCCUGGCUCAGAACGAACGCUGGCGGCGUGGAUAAGACAUGCAAGUCGAGCGCUAAUUUCGGAGUAGCAAUAUUCCGGAGUUGGAGCGGCGCAAGGGUGCGUAACACGUGGGUAAUCUGCCAUGAAGUCUGGAAUAACUUGCUGAAAGGCGAGCUAAUACCGGAUGUGACCAUCGGGAGGCAUCUCCUGGUGUUUAAAGCUGGGGACCGUAAGGCCUGGCGCUUCAUGAUGAACCCGCGGCCUAUCAGCUAGUUGGUGAGGUAACGGCCCACCAAGGCUAAGACGGGUAGCUGGUCUGAGAGGACGACCAGCCACACUGGAACUGAGACACGGUCCAGACACCUACGGGUGGCAGCAGUCGAGAAUUUUUCACAAUGGGCGCAAGCCUGAUGGAGCGACGCCGCGUGGGGGAUGAAUGGCUUCGGCCCGUAAACCCCUGUCAUUCGCGAUCAAACCUUGCUAUUUAAAAGAUGGUGAGCUGAUAGUAGCGGAAGAGGAAGGGACGGCUAACUCUGUGCCAGCAGCCGCGGUAAUACAGAGGUCCCAAGCGUUGUUCGGAUUCACUGGGCGUAAAGGGUGCGUAGGUGGUGAGGUAAGUCGGAUGUGAAAGCUCGGAGCUCAACUCCGAAAUGGCAUUGGAAACUACCUUGCUCGAGGGUUGGAGGGGGGGACUGGAAUACUUGGUGUAGCAGUGAAAUGCGUAGAUAUCAAGUGGAACACCAGUGGCGAAGGCGAGUCCCUGGACAACUCCUGACACUGAGGCACGAAAGCUAGGGGAGCAAACAGGAUUAGAUACCCUAGUAGUCC
rnacentral:rRNA from 1 species